UUCAAACGGAGCACUCAACGUCUCCCUCACCUUAGCUGAUACGCUUCUUUGUAGAAGGGGCAUUUCCGUAAAUCCAUCCUUCGACAUUAUUCAGCUCCCCUCUCCUUACGUAAGCUCCCCAAGACACUGUCCAAUCCAACCCCAAACCUAGAGCCUCUCUCUCUCUCUCUCUCUCUCUCUCUCUCCUCAAAGUUUUUGCCAAUGCCGGCGACGAGGACGGCCUGACAGAGGAGGAGGAAGCAUGGCGAAGUUCUUUGGGGACGCGGCGUCGGUGCUGAUGAAGGUGCUGAUGAGGAAGAGCAUCAGCCUGUACGCCGAGUUCUCUUACCUCUUCACCGACCUCGCCUCCCUCGUCGUGUCGGCUCUCCGGUUCUCCACCAUCGUGGCCAGGCAACCUUCUUCUUUCCCUCCUCAUCCUUCUACGUCUUCCACUUCUGCUGCUGCUGCUGCUGCUUCGACCUCUGCUUCUUCUGCCAGAAGGUACUCGCCGAUCCUGAUGUCCAUGGCCAUCCGACACCGUGUGUACUGAGCUCGAUCGAUGCGGUUGACAUUGUGCUGCUGGAUCUUCCUUUUCUUGCCCUCUUGUCUUUUGGGGUUGGCUUACGUGGGGUGUUCGGAACUUGCCCAUGAUUCGUUCGUAUGGCGAUGAGGGGAAUCUAUGCAAGUCUCUGGUUUCCCAGGCGCAAAAUGUUUGUUCUUCUUGAUGAUGGGAUGGUUCUUGCUGGGGAUACUAUUUGGGACGCCGGUUUGUUUUUAUGAUUAUCGAGAUUUCCAGCCGCGGGACAGGUUUGAGAUUUCGUUAUGUAUGGGUUCCUGUAGGCUUGCGACCGAUCUGCGAUCUGUUUCGCAGAUGAUUAGGAAACUCGAAUUCAACGAGACAUUUUGCUCGAUUGUGUGAUGAGACUGUGUGAUGAGACGCAUCAUGUAUCAGAACAUGUAAUAACCGAUAAGUACUAAUUUACUCCUUUUCCUUUUCACAAUCUGAACAAUGGUUUUUCCAAUCAUCGUGAUUGUCUGAAUUUAGGAAAGUAAGGUGGUUUUAUUAGAUCACGUUGUUGACACCCAAAAAUGGCAAAGUGUUGCGAGAUAGCCGAUGAGCAGGGUUUGAUCGAGAAGAACAGAUUUGAUCUGAGAAUUAGGGCAGUCGAGAAGAUCGGCAAGUCGAUGUCUAGCACAAUCGACAAGAUUCUUCAUCCAGAAUUCAAGAAUUGAUCGAUAACAGCAGGCUCUAUUAGAUUUUGACCAAGUAUAAGAAGACAAUCGAUGAACGGAGUGAAAAAAUGAUUGCUUUGCUGAUUAAGAGGCAAGGGUGGCAAAUUGACGCGCGUCUGUAACUGUCAAAUGGUCAAAUCGAUAAUUUAGGUACUUGUAACUUCUUAUAGAUAAAUGUUGUUGAUGAAUGAAACUAUGGGUGAAUUUGUGAUUAUUCAAUAACUGUGUAUAUGUAAAUGUCGAUGGUGGGUUAUAAACACUUUCAGUGUAUACGUUGUAAAGGUUACUCAAUCAAUCUUAGAACAUCCAAUGUUAUUUUUCAUAAUCCUUUAAUUUGUAGCAUUAUUUACAUUGCUAGCAACUAUUGUUUUUGGUAUUCUUACCAUUAAGUUUCCAGCCAUUUACUUUCCUGUCUAAAAUCAAUAAAAAUGCCUUCACAACCAUUUAUCAAUUUAUUCAAAUCCAUCACACUUAAGGAUUUUUCACUUUUCUGGCGAAAAUGAUGAAAGUGCAAAAUCUGUCUUUUACGAUUUAGCUACUAGUCAACUGAGUCUUUAAUGUUUUAAAAAAUGUUCAAUCAAGUGAUAAACUUGUUGCUAAUAGAUUUAUAAUGUUGGAAACUCGAUGUGGCUUUCAAGCUCAUUUGUGGCCAAAUGGUAUUAAUGAAAGCUCGAGUCAGAGACAUGUAAGAUAUCCAACGUCAAAACCCCAUUAAUAGUGAGUUUAGGAUUUGAUUAUACAUAACAUUAAGUACUUAUUCUCACUUAUUACCUAGAAGCAAAUGGAUUUCAUGAUAAACCUUGCAUCUGAGCCUUUGCUUGCCGGGGGAAAGGAAGUCCAGUGCACUUGCCAAAUAAAUAGGUUGGAGGAAGGCCACUCUGAUGACAACUUGUUCACUAAGGUCCAUAUUGUCGUAAUUCGUAUAUAAUGUCUUGUAACAUAUAAUAACUCAGAAAGUUAAUGAUCGCGAGUGAGCUUCGGUUCUUAUAUGAUGCAAUGCCUAUGAAUUCCCUGAGAAAUUUAGGGGCAACUCGAGCGAGGAUACAAGUUCUCGCCCAAAUAAUUUGGUUUCUUGAAGUAAACCCUAACCAAACUUCUUCUGACCAAACAACACAAGAAAAGGCCACCAAACAGAUGCAAGGUGAAACGUAAAUGGUUGCUUCCUAUAAAAGGUCAACAUUAUGUACAUGCCCACCUGUAUACAUUUGAUUCAAAACCCUCGUCUACAAUCUCCGAUUUCCGUUGGUCUGAUGGGUAGUUGGAUUUGAUACCGUGCCGCUUUCCGAUACUUCCAGCAAGCAAGCUAUUUCCAUCUUCUAGUUCACUCUAAUUACAGAGAACUUGUCACCCCCUCUCCCUCCCUCUCUCCCUCCCUCUUUUAAGUUUUGGCCUUUUUUCGUCUUUUUAACUUUUGGAGGGGAGGGAUUUGACCUAAAUCUCUCCCUCCCCUCUUUAUUGCUUUUUUUUUUUCUCUUAUUUCUUUCCUUACUCUCCGAAUCUAGAUUUAGAUUUGGGAUUUUGAUCUCCCAAUCUUAGGUUUGAGAGUUUUUCUCUCUAAUCUAAUUUUAGAUUUAAGAGUUUUAAUGAACAAGUACUUCACCUCCAAUCUCAAUGGUGUUCACAGUAGUUUCGGUGUCAAAUUUGUACUCGUUCAAUUUUGGAUAGCUCGCUUUCACAGGUCUUAUAUUGUAGGAGGCCUGUGUCACCAAUUGAAACGGACAAAACAUGUACAGCCUUAGAUAGAAAUUUUAAAAAAAUCACUUUUUUUUAAUAUGUGUCCAACCAUUCUUUCUUGAAUUUAACACAUAUUGGCACGCCAAUUCUCGUUCGUUUGAUUUUAAUUAUGUAUUUUAAACUUAAUUAUACUUUUUCAAUAAGAAAAACUCAUUCAUGUUUUAUUAAAGUGUUUCGAGUAUAAAUAAUGUAUUUUCUAUUACUCAUAUUUCAUAUUACAUAUAUUGUAAUACAUGUUUUUAUUUUUAAAAAUGACUUCAGGCCAAUCCAGGCCAUUUCUGGCUCGAAAAUCUCGGGCCCGAAGGCCCAAACCCGCUCGGAUGGAAAAAGUAUAUAUGAUAAACUCGAAAUUCUAGCUAUGGCAUUAGCCUCCAAAAUUAGGCUAGUCUACGCUUUCGGGCUUCGGCUCUUUCUUCUUCCCUUCUUUUGAGCUGGGAUUUAUUUUUAGUUUAAUUUUUUUGCAAAAAUUUGGGCGUGUUUUGACAAAACUGCCCUUGAUUUGCUUAAUAUUGGGUACCUUGAUAAUUCGUUCAAUUAAGUAUCCUUCCAAUAUAUGGCUCAACGUGGCCCUUCUGGCAAAUAAAGUGCCACGUCAUCAAGCUUUUGCUGACUUGGCUUGUCCACUCACUGAAAAAAAACUGCAUUUUUGCUCUGUUUCUUAUGUUUAAUGUUCAAUUCACUCAUCAAUCAACAACACAUUCAAUGCGUCGGGGACAAGGUUUAUGAUGUAGCCUGUGUGUUGCAUCAUUGUCCUUGCAAAAACAUGACCUUAAAAUUGAACAUGUGUUCGUCUUGUCCAUUGCAUUUCCAUAAAUUGGGAUUAUAAACUCAAUUCGAAAAUGAAUUUUAAUAAACUUCCCAUAUCUCCUUCCAUGUUUUUUGUUCGACAUGCGACCCUAAUGCUACUCACUGUCAUGCCAGGUGUCAUCACUUGUCUAGCGAUGGGUGCUGCACUGUCAUUUGCUGCACUUGGUGCCAUCAAUCCUAGCAUCUGUGCUGACACCUCUCUUCCACUUUAGGUAUUGUAUACAAAAAAGAAAAAGAAAAAAAAGACAAUUUUUGUAAUUAACAUGGGGUUGAUUUGAGCGAGUAUAGAACUCGGUGUUAAAUUCGACUUAGUUAUUGGUAAUUUGCCAAUAAUAUAAAUAGUUGUUGAUCACAUGAUAAUUAUUGAUGACUAAGGAAUAUAGAUGUCGACAUACGAUAGUGUGAUUGGUCAACAAUUAUCACUUAACGGGUUGGGUAGGUGUUGAAUAUAGAGGAAAGGAAGAAAGAGGACAAAGUGGGAAUGUGGAUUGAAGAUAAAGAUUCCAAUUAAGGGUCAAACCUGGUGACGCUUAAGGAGUUGUAACUGCUUGUUGGUAAGGUCGAUGUGCGAUUAUAGAGCCUAAAAAUAUGAAGAUGUGGUUGUAAUGUUAUACUUUUUAGUAGCCUAUAUAAAGCCGUGUGUAAUUGUUAUGAGGACAUAACUACCAUCACAAUAACUUAUUUAUUUUCACAAUUUAUCCAUACUCACAUUUCAUUCCCUUGAAAAUUUAAUUAUUCUCGAUCAUUAUUAUGCAAUUCAAUUUUUGUCCGAAUCACCGCUAGACCUGUUCAAUAAAAAAUGAAGAUCAACCUUUGUGAAAUGUAUUUCACCGAUUUGGACAGCUUUCAAUCUCUAGUGAAACAUAUAUCUAGUGCUAACUUCCAUAAACUAGGCAUUGCGUUUUCUAGAAAAUUCCAUAAUAAAAUUCUUUGAUCCCAUCCGAUUCACUAAGACAUCGAGAAAAGCAAAUAGUGUUUCACAAAAUUUUGGAUAUGAUAAUUGAAUCGGUAUAAUAUUUACAAUCUUAUGAAUAUAAAAAAAUAAAUUACUCGUGAUGAAUUAUUAGAUCCAAAAGUAAUAAAGAAUUAAGUGUACUAAUUUGUCAAAAAAAGUUUUGUUGACACCUAAAUUUUGGCGAUCCAUUUAGUCAUUUAUUACAUAAAAAUUAGGGGUUAAUUUUAUCCUUAAAAAAAUAUAUUAAUUGCAUAGCUACAUUUAGUUUGCAUAUUUUGCAUUUUAUUUACUGGACCGGUGGCGGAUGGAUCGAAUUGGUGGUUUUGAAUUUUAAAUUAAUAGGCCGGGCUAGGCCCAUGAAAUGAUAAAAUUAACCCAAGCCCGUCGUUGUUGUUUAAUUGAUUAUCUUGUGAAAAUUUAAGAUUUGAUGCGAUAUUAUGAUGAUUUUUGGAAAUUAAAAAAUCGCACUGUAAUCUUAAAGUUGGGAAUAUUAAGGAGGAUAAGGAAUAUUCUAAAAUAUUUUGUUGCAGAUGGAUAUCUCGAAAGAUUUUAGAAUUGGAUAAUAGAGUUUUAUCUAAAGUGAAUUAUUUGGAAAAUCUUCACAAAAAAAUUCCAGUUUAUCUUUAAUCGCUGAGUCAGCAUAUAAAAUCUUCAAUGGUCGAGCGAGUCAGCUUGGAAGAUUUUAAUAAAUGAUUUCAAUGGCCGAGUGAGUCAGCAUACACGAUAAUCUCGAAAGAUGAUCUUCAGCGAUUGAGUUGUUAUGCAAAUCUUCGUAGGUUGAGCAGACUAAGUUUUCACUCUAUAAAUGGGGGUGGCCUUCUCUUCGUCCGAGGGGGAGCUUUUUUUGAAAAAAUUCAGAAAUAAGGGAAGAGAAAGGUAAAAAGAAGCUUUGCUUCUGCAGUAAAAAAAAGAAAGAGAGAAAGAGUACGAAGGAAGAGGGAGAGUGACGUGAGAGAGGGAGAGAGAGGAAGAAAAGUCAAAAGGACAAAAAAGGAAAAGUCAGAACGUGAGAGAGAGAGAGGAGAAAAGGUAAAGUGAAAAGGGGGUGAUUUGACCCCUACUGUUCAUCGUCUCCCCCAACUUGCUGCCCACGUUGCUGCUCCAUCCGUGACGCUCGUUGCAGCUCCAUCCGCACUGCUCAGAGCUCCUUCGCCUCGCCACGCUGCAGGACGUGUGUGCGACCACCACCGCUCCUCGCCUUCCACGAAGCCCGACGCCCUCCUCCGCUUUUCGCCGGUAAUCGAUCCGCUCAACGUCGCCUGCUGUUACUCGGAGCCGAAGCCCUGCGACCACUGCCCAUUCCCCUUCCGACGUUGCUGCGGCUCCUGUUCUGCUCGUUGUCGCGCCUACUGCGUCUCCACCACCGCCGGCAGUUGAACCGCAAGCCAUCGCCGCUCCGCCGGUUGUCCGCGACCGCCCAGCGCCGAUUUGCCUCUCACCAGUCCGACGGAGCUACCGCCUUGCCGCACCGCAACCCAGCCGUGCUGACUCGUGUGCCCUGCUCUGAGUACUGCCCGUGCCCCAAAAUCGCGACGCCACUGGAGCCCCAAAUCAGUCGUACCGCCGAGCCGAUUUGCCCUCUGUUCGCGAUCUGCCUGCAACCCGCGCUGGUCCGAGAUCUGCCGUCUUGCCCCGCCGCGCCUCCUUCGCCCGUGCCGCCCCUGUCUCGCCUGACCCGUGACCAGCUGUGCCUGCUGCGGCCCUUGCCGGAGUUCCCCUUCGCCGGACCUUCGCCGGACCGAUUGACCCGCUGCCCUUGGAGACCCACGGUUACAAGCAGGAAAAGAAAAACAAAAAAAGAAAAGGAAAGGGAAAUUAGGUAGUUUUAUUCUUUUUCUAUUUACUUUAUUUUAUUUAUUUCUUUUAAGUUCAGGAGUAAUCUUUAUUUUAUGGAUUUUGUAGGCAUUAUCCAUAGGUCUUCCCCAAAAUUAUUGUAAUUACUAAUUUGAUCCGUAAGAUGUCGGAUAAUUUUUUUAAUUAUAUUAAUUUUUGGGGUUUGUUGAUAUGUUUUAAGUGCUGGAUCAAUGUAAUUAUUAAUUUGAUCCGUAAGAAUUCGGAUCAGAUUUUUGGUUAUUUUGAACUCUUUGUCGUGAUAAUUAGGGUUAUGAUAAUCGUUAAUUUGACAUGUGAGACAACGGGUUAUUUUUUCCAAUUAUUUUAAUUCUUUAUUUGAUUGCAUAUCUUGAUUGUUUAGAUUUAAUGUUUAGCUGAUAAUUGCUUGUUUUGGAUAAUCACUAAAAAAAUCAAAAAAAAAUAUUCGAAUUAAGAUUUAGUUUGUUUUAGAAUAUUUCUUGUUAUCUUGCAUAUCUAGGAUAAGGAUUUCAGUUUGAAAAAUAUAAAAAAUGCAUUAAUUUAGGAUUUUAGUUGCAUGUUUAAUUACGUGGCAAUUUUAAAUUUUGAAUUUUAAAUAAAAAAUAAAAGAUAAAAAAUAUCAUGCAUAUGUCAUGUAGAAUUAGGGCUUGCUCCGCACGUCAUUGCAUAUUAGAUCUAUUACAUGUUAGAUUAAGAUAAUAUCUUAAUUUAAAUUAGGAUUUAAUGUGACUUAAUCCUUAGUUUAAAUUAGAUAGAAUUUUAAUCUAGCUAGAUCAUUUUUGCAUUUUUAAAUAGAAAUAUCAAAUGCACGUCAUUUAGUUUUUAUUAGGUUCAUUUAAUUAGAACUUCCUUGUCAUUAGACUAAAUCAUUUAAUAAAUGUCGCAUGAUAUAUAACUCGAGUGCUAAAUUAUUUGCGGCAUGUCAUCUUAGUUUAAAUAAUUUUGUAUGUCAUUGCAUCGCAUUGCAUGUCAUUAGAAUUAGGUCAUUUAGAUUGCAUUUAAUUAUUGCAUUUCUUCAUGUCAUAUAGUUUAGGUCAUGCUGCCAUGUCAUAUUGGAUUAUUAACAUGCAUUGCAUAAGUCAUGAUUUUCAUUAAAUAAAAUGAAAACAAAAAUUGAAAUUGCGUGUUAAUUAGAAAUCAUAUCUAGGGCUGCUGAUGCGAAUUCUGAUUUAACAAUGCAGAUGCUUUCGUUGCUCCUAGGUAUGUUUUGCAAUAUUUAAUUGCUUUCUUGAGUGUUAAAUUGGUGGUAUGCGCACAUGUUUGAUCACCUCACAUAUUAGGAAGUUAGUUUAAAAUCAAUUCAAUUGCCAAAUAUUUUUGAAAAUGAAAAGAAUGGUACCGAAAGGGCAUUAGAGAAAUCUAAUGUAAUCAAGUCCCCGUACCCUUAGUCUUUAGUUCGUAGGAGUAAAGUAAUUAUCCCAUUAUUUUACUUAGGUAUCUAAUCGACCUAUCAUAAACUGAUUAGUGGCGACUCCUAAAUAAAAUCAAUUUUCAUGUUAAGAAUUCAAACCUAAGUCGCGAAUUGGUAUGGGCUUGGGAGAGCCCGAGUUAAGUUUAGGCUUAACAAUCCAUUAACCUAAUUUUAGGUGAUUCACACCCCGCGAAAAAUUCCGGUCGCGACAAGUUUACUAAACAAUUAUUCAGUUAAUUAAAUCGUGAUGAUGGCAUAAGCUAAAGUAGGCUACAGUGAGAUUAAAUGCUUCUUUUCUUUUUUCCUAUUAUUAUUUUCAAUAAAAACAAGUUGACCGUCCAUUCUUUCUGUCAGGGGGGUGUCGACAUAUUUCGGGGGGGAGCUUUGGACUUUUGCUCGGGGCGACGGGGUUUGAAAAGAUCGAGGGUCGUGUCGGCUCGGGAUGAGUUCAUGAUGUCGUCAUUCUGCAGCGCCUGAUCUUGUCUCCGCCGGGCCCUUCUUUUACGGUUUUGCCCUUACUCGCUCUGUAUCUCCCACGAGCUGCCACUGGAACCUAAUAUGAAAGAGUGCUUUAAAAAAAAAAAAAGCAGAAUAGAUAAGUACACUUAAAAUCCCACGUCCUAAAAGUGUAGUCAAGCCCUUAAAAUUUUAGAAAUUUGAAAGAUUUAAAAAAAAACAAUCAACAAAAUGACUUGAUUUAAUUAAUUUAAAAAAAUUUAUGAUUUAAUUGUACUUUUUAAAAAUUUUCAGAUUAAUAAAUUUUAAUACUUGAUUGGAUAUUUUUAAAGUCUUAUAACUUUCGUCAUAAAUUUUAAGAUUUCCAUUACACUUAUGAAUAUAUAUAUAUAAAUUCUUGUUCUUGCCUUGCCCUCCAUUGGUCUAGCUGCAAAUUUUUUUUAAGUACCAUCAAAGGUUGAUCAAACAUUUGUUUUUGUGAAUUUUCUAUAUUUUUCGUUUGAAGGGACAUGUUCAGGUCGAGUUUGAUUUAAAUUGAAAAUGAUAAAGAGUUUCGACAACGGUUAAAAGAGCUUUAGUUAGCUUGAUUUUGAUAUAUGACCUUUUACUAACAAGAGAUGGAUGUAUUUAUUUGGAAUCCAAGGCAUUACCGUCUGUUGCAUACCACAAACAAAGGAACCUCUUUUUUCCGGACUUGAUUAAUCGAGUCGAAGAAAUUGAAUAGGGUUUUAUCUAAUAAAUAAUUCUAGCAUUAUAGCUAAAAAAAAAUCUUGACUAAUAUUAGACACAUAUGAACUUUUCGAAUUGUAUGAUAGGAACUUUACAAAGUAAGGCCAGCCUUCGUUUCAAAGUUAUCAUCUCUCCCUCUAUAAAAGUUGUAUUCCUUGGAUAAGCUAUCAACAACAAUAAAGCAUAAAAAGUUUAAGCGGAGGAACGUUUUGCAAAAGAGCAUAUUUCACUAUCUUUUCAUGUGUCACUAGAGGAGCACCGCACAUCUAGUUUGACAAAAGGGCAUUUCGAUAAAUCCACCCCAAACCUAAAUCGGCCCAUUCGCCGAGUUCUCUUGCCUGUUCACAUGGCCAUCCUAUCAAAUAAAGUGCCACGUCAUCAUGUUUUGCUGACUUGGCUUGUCCACUCACCGAAAAUUCUUCAUUUAUGUCUCAUAUAUGCAAUGUACAAUUCAUUCAUCAUUCAACAGCCCUGCACGAGGCAGGACAAAAGUCUGAGAGUGAGUGUAGAGUAGGAAUAGGAAAAAAAAAAAAAAUAGCCCGUUAAAUGCAAGGAGGUGUGGGGUCCGUGACAUGGGAAGGGGAAUCGACUGAAAUUCUAAAAGCCCAUUUUGGUAGCCUGCAUGCUGCAUCAUCAUCCUUGCAAAACCAUAGCCUUGAAAUUGAACCUAUGCUCGUCUUGACCAUUGCAUUUCCACAAAUUUGGGAUUAAAAACUCAAUUCGAGAAUGGACUUUAAUGAACUUCCCAUCUCUCCUUCCACACUUUUUGUUCGACAUGCCGCUCUUAUGCUACUCGCCGCCACACCCAGUGCCGUUGCUUGUUAGUGAUGGGCAUUGUUAUUUCUUGCACUUAGUGCCAUCACUCUUAGGAUUUGUGCGGACAGCUUUGUCUUGCUCUUUAGGUACUAUUUACACAAAAAAAUGACCAAGUUUUUGUAAUCAAUAGAUGUCGAUUUGAGUGAGUAGAAAGCUUGGUGUUAAGUUUGAUUUGGUUAUUAGUAACUUACCAAUAACAAAAAUACUUGUCAAUCACAUGAUGAUCAUUGAUGAAUGAAGAACACAAUCAUCAACAUAUAACAGUCAUCGAUCAUCGAUUAUCACUUAAUGAGUUGACUAAUUGUUGAACACAUAUGAAAUAAAAAAAGAAAAAGAAAAAAGAGGACAAAUUAGGGAUGCCAUUUGAAGACAAAGAUACCAAUUAAGGGUUAGGUCCAUUGGCAUUUGAGGAGUUGUAAUCACCUAGGUAAGGUUGAUGUAGAUAAUGGAGCCUAAAAAUAUGAAGAUGUAGUUGUAAUUUAUGAGCAAAUAUCCUUUGUAGUAGACUAUACAAAGCGGUGCGCAAUUGUUAUGACAAAAACCCAUUUAUUUUCUCAACUCAUCAAUUUUUAGCACUCGCAUUUCUUUUCUUUCAUAAUUAAUUGUUCUUGAUCCUUAUCACGCAAUUCAAUUCCUUUUUGAAUUGCCACCAAACCUGUUCAACCAAAAAAACCAAACAUCAGCUUCUAGUGAAAGGUAUUUUUGUUGAUUGUGACAGAUUUGGCUUUUGUAGAGAAAUAAAUAUUGAAUGCAACUUUUAUAGCCCAUGCAUUGCGUUUCAAAGUACUUUCUAAUUAAUUCUUGAGCUCAUAUGAUUCGCUAAGAUUGUAUAUGGUAUAUUUCUUUACCUUUAUUGAUUCAUCGAUUGCGACAUGUCCGGCUUUCCUAGCAGAACAGGUACUAGAUGCAAUUUUCAUAAUUCAUAUAUUGCAUUUUAGAAUAUUUUAUAAUAAAUUCUUGAGCCCAUUCAAUUCACUAACAUGGUAUAAAAAUAUACUUUUUACCUUUGUCCAGGAAAGCAAAUAGGGUUUCACAUACUUAUUAAAUCUAAUAAUCCAAUUAGCACCAAUAUACACAAUCUUAUGAAUACAAGAAAUAACAACACAUGUAAAAAUUAUUAAGUGCUAUAUUAUUUUAAGUGUACUAAAAAAUCAUUCAGCUAACUGAAUCGUGAGGAUGGCACGAAGCAGGGAAAGAGCAGAUUAUACCGCAAAUUGUUUUUUUUUCUUUUUUUGGGGGUCGUGCACGCCGCAAUUUAAGUGUUUAUUUAUUUAUUAUUUAUUAUUACAUAAAGAAAACAAAUCGACCGUCGAUUUUGUCAAGGGAGUGUCGACAUAUGUCGCGGGGAACCGUUUGGGACUUUGUUCGUGGCACGGGACUUCAAAGAUCCGAGGGCGGGUACCGGCUCGGAUGAGUUCAUGAUGUGUUCAUCCUCCAGCAACGCGAGUUUUGUCUCCGCGGGGCCCAUUUUGUUUUACGGUUUUGCCCUCGCACUCCCUCCGUAUUUCCCACGAGCUGCCACUGGAACUUGGAGAUGGAGAGAGCCUUUUUUUGGCAGAAUCUUUCUUCACUUCUCUCGCCUUGUCCUUCAUCGGUUUGGCAGUAAAAUUUUUAUUUUUAUAGUGCUUUCGAAGCAUUGUGUCGGAUAAUUCAUGCGACUAAUCGAGUGUUGAGUUUUUGUGAAUUAUUUAUAGGAAUCGCAUAAUUAGGUUAAGUUUGAUUUAAAUCAAAAAUGAUAUAAAGCUUGAUAGCCUCUCAUGUCGAAAUGGAGUUUUUUUUUGGAUCUGGAAAAGUACUAUUAAUUACAUUAAAAGUUCUUCGAAAGUGGCCCAAAAAGGGGCAUCAAAAUAUGUUAAUCUCCACAAAAGCUGUGGACUGAAUUAACCAAGAAAAUAAAAGAAUAUCUAAACGAUGGGCCUUGGCUACUUGAACAGUAACUUAAUUAGCCAUUUCAUUGUAACAUAUGAGGAUCGAUUGAAUAAAUUGAAAUAUCAAAUUAUAUUAUGAAUAUUAAUAUUUUCAUUUAUUUGGUUGAACCCGAUUGAUCGGGUCGAAGAAAAUAAAAUAGAGUUUCAUCCAAUAAAUAAUUCUAAGCAAUGACAAGAUCAUUUGAUUAGAAGUUAUCAUCAUCUCUCCCUCUAUAAAGGUUAUAUAUUCCGAAGAUAAACCUAUCAACGCUAGAGCAUGAAAAGUUCAAGCGGAGCACUCAACGUCUUCCUCACCUUAGCUGAUACGCUACUCUGUAGAAGGGGCAUUUCCGUAAAUCCACCCUUCGACAUUAUUCAGCUCCCCUCUCCUUACGUAAGGCCCCCCAAGACACCCCAAACCUAAAGCUCUCUCUCUCUCUCUCUCUCUCUCUCUCUCUGCAAAGUCUUUUGCCAAUGCCGGCGACGAGGACGACCUGACAGAGGAGGAGGAAGCAUGGCGAAGUUCUUUGGGGACGCGGCGUCGGUGCUGACGAAGGUGCUGAUGAGGAAGAGCGUGAGCCUGUUCGCCUAGUUCUCUUGCCUCUUCACCGACCUCGCCUCCGUCGUCGUGUCGGCUCUCCGGUUCUCCACCAUCAUGGCCAGGCAACCUUCUUCUUUCCCUCCUCAUCCUUCUCCGUCUUCCACUUCUGCUGCUGCUGCUUCCACCUCUGCUUCUUCCGCCAGAAGGUACUCUCCGAUCCUGAUGUCCAUGGCCAUCCGACAUCGUGUGUCCUGAGCUCGAUCGAUGCGGUUGAUUUCUUGCCCUCUUGUCUUUUGGGGUCGGUCUACGUGGGGGUCUUCGGAACUGCCCAUGAUUCGUUCGUAUGGCGAUGAGGGGAAUCUAUGCAAUUCUCUGGUUUCCCAGAUGCAAAAUGUUUGUUCUUCUUGAAGAUGGCGCGGUUCUUGCUGGGGCUGCUAUUUGGUACGCCAGUUUGUGUUUAUGAUUAUUGCUCGCGCUUGCGGAUCUAACAGAGGGACUCGACCAGUCCCGGAUCGUGAUUUCAAGCCGCUGGACGGGUUUGAGAUUUCAUUAUGUACAGGAUCCUGUAGGCUUGCGACCGAUCUGUGAUCUGUCUCGCAGAUGAUUAGGAAACUCGAAUUCAACGAGUCGUUUUACUCAAUUGUGUGAUGAGUUGCUUCAUGUAUCAGAAUAUGUAAUAAUCGAUAAUUACUGAUUUACUCCUUUUCCUUUUGACAAUGUAAACAAUGAUUUUUCCAAUCAUCGUGAUCGUCUGAAUUUAGGAAAUUAAGGUGGUUUUAUUAGAUUGUUGACACCCAAAAAUGGCAAAGUUUUGUGGAAUAGCCGACGAGCAGGGUUUGGUCGACAAGAACAAGAUUUGGUGUAAGAAUUAAGACAGUCGAGAAGAUCGGCAAGUCGAUGUCUAGCAUGAUCGACAAGAUUCUUCAUUGAGAAUUUAAGAAUUGAUUGAUAACAACAGACUCUAUUAGAUUUCGACCAAGUAUAAGAGGACAAUCGAUGAAUGGAGUGAAAAAAUGAUUGCUUUGCUAAUUAAAAGGCAAGGGUGGCAAAUUGACGUGAGUCUGUAACUAUUAGAUAGUGGAGUCGAUAAUUUAGGUAUUUGUAAAUUCUUACAGAUAAGUGUCGUUGAUCGAUGAAACCAUAUGUGAAUUUGUGACUAUUCAAUAACUAUGUAUAUGUAAAUGUUGAUGGUGGGUUAUAAACACUGUAUAUGUCGUAAAGGUUCACUCAAUCAAUCUUAGAACAUCCAAUAUUUUUUUUUCUGUAAUCCUUUAAUUUGUAGCUUUAUUUACAUUGCUAGCAACUAUUGUUCCUGGUAUUCUUACCAUUAAGUUCCUAGCUGUUUACUUUCCUGUCUAAAAUCAAUAUAAAAAAAAAAUUAAGCCGUCUAUCAAUUCAUUCAAAUUCAUUGUACUUAAGGAUUUUUCACUUUUUUGGCAAAACAGAUGAAAGUGCAGAACUCGUCUGUUACGAUUUAGCUACUAGUCAACUGAGUCUUUAACUUUUUAAAAAAGUUCAAUUGAGUGAUAAAGUUGUCGCCAAUAGAUUUAUAAUGUUGGAAACUCAAGGUGGCUCUCAAGCUCAUUUGUGGCCAAGUGUUAUUAAUGAAAACUCAUUUGUGGCCAAGUGGUAUUAAUGAAAGCUCAAGUUGGAGAGAUGUAAGAUAUCUAGUGUCGAAACCCCAUUGAUAGUGAGUCGAGGAUUUGAUUAUACAUAACAUUAAGUACUUAUUCUCACUUCUUCCCUUGAAGCAAAUGGAUUCCGUGAUAAACCUUGCAUCCGAGCCUUUGCUUGCUGAGAAAAAGGAAGUCUAGUGCACUUGCCAAAUAAAUAGGUUGGAGAAAGGCUACUCUGAUGACAACUCGUUUCACUGAGGUCCAUAUUAUUGUAAUUCGUAUAUAGUGUCUCCUAACAUACAAUAACUCAGAAAAUUAACGAUCACGAGUGAGCGUCGGUUCUUAUAUGAUGCAAUGCUUACCAAUUCCCUGAGAACUUUAAGGGCAACUCGAGAGAGGAUACAAGCUCUCCCCCAAAUAGUUUGGUUUCUUGAAGUAAACCCUAACCAAACUUCUUUUGACGAAACAGCACAAGAAAAGGCCACCAAACAGAUGCAAUGUGAAACGAAAACGGCUACUUCCUAAAAAAAGUCAACAUUAUAUAUGUGCCCACCUGUACACAUUUGAUUCAAAACCCUCGUCUACAAUCUCUGAUUUCCGUCGGUUUGAUGGGUAGUUGGAUUUGAUGCCGUGCCGCUUUCCGACACUUUAGUAACAAGCUAUUUCCUUCUUCUAGUUCACUCUAAUUAUAGAGAAAUUGUCACCCCCUCCCUCUCUCAAUUUUAAGUUUUGGCCUUUUUCGUCCUUUUAACUUUUGGAGGGGAGGGAUUUGACCUAAAUCUCUCCCUCCCCUCUCAAUUGCUUUUCCUUUUAUUUUCUCUUAUUUCUUUCCUUACUCUCCCAAUCUUAGGUUUGAGAGACUCUAAUCUAAUUUUAGAUUUAAGAGUUUUAAUGAAUGAGUACUUCACCUCUAGUUUCAAUGGUGUUCACAGUAGUUUCGGUGUCAAAUUUGUACUCGUUCAACUUUGGAUAGCUCGCUUUCACAGGUCUUAUAUUGUAGGAGGCCCGUGUCACCAACCAAAACGGACAAAACAUGUACAGCCUUAGAUAGAAAUUUAAAAAAAAAUCACUUUUUAAAAAAAAAAAUGUGUCCAACCAUUCUUUCUUGAAUUUAACACAUAUUGGCACGCCAAUUCUCGUUCGUUUGAUUUUAAUUAUGCAUUUUUAACUUAUUUAUACUUUUUCAGUAAGAAAAACUCAUUCAUGUUUUAUUAAUGUGUUUCGAGUAUAAAUAAUGUAUUUUCUAUUGCUCAUAUUUCAUAUUACAUAUAUUGCAAUACAUGUUUUUAUUUUUAAAAAUGACUUCAGGCCAAUCCAGGUUAUUUCUGGCUUGAAAAUCUCGGGCCUAAAGGCCCAAACCCGCUCAGAUGGAAAAAGUAUAUAUGAUAAACUCGAAAUUCUAGCCAUGGCAUCAGCCUCCAAAUUCAGGCUAGUCUACGCUUUCGGGCUUCAACUCUUUCUUCUUCCCUUCUUUUCAGCUGGGAUUUAUUUUUAGUUCAAUUUUUUUUGCGAAAGUGGGAAUGCAGACUAAAGAUAAAGAUUCCAAUUAAGGGUCAAAUCUGGUGAUGCUUAAGGAGUUGUAACUGCUUGUUGAUAAGGUUGAUAUGCGAUUGUAGAGCCUAAAAAUAUGAAGAUGUGGUUGUAAUCAUCAAUUAAAAUAUGAACUACUUAUAAGGAGUUAUACUUUUUAGUAACCUAUACAAAGCUGUGUGUAAUUGUUACGAGGACAUAACUACCAUCACAAUAACUUAUUUAUUUUCACAAUUUAUCAAUACUCACAUUUCAUUCCCUUGAAAAUUUAAUUAUUCUCGAUCAUUAUUAUGCAAUUCAAUUUUUGUUUGAAUCACCGCUAGACCUAUUCAAUAAAAAACGAAGAUCAACUUUUGUGAAAUGUAUUUCACCAAUUUGGACGGCUCUCAAUUUCUAGUGAAACAGAUAUCUAGUGCUAACUUCCAUAAACUAGGCAUUGUGUUUUCUAGAAUAUUUCAUAAUAAAAUUCUUUGAUCCCGUCCGAUUCACUAAGAUACCGGGAAAAGUAAAUAGUGUUUCACAAAAUUUUGGAUUUGAUAAUAGAAUUGGUACAAUAUUUACAAUCUCAUGAAUAUAAAAAAAAUAAAUUACUCAUGAUGAAUUAUUAGAUCCAAAAGUAAUAAAGAAUUAAGUGUACUAAUUUGUCAAAAAAAGUGUACUAAACAAUUAUUCAGUUAAUUAAAUCGUGAUGAUGGCAUAAGCUAAAGUAGGCUACACUGAGAUUAAAUGCUCCUUUUCUUCUUCUUUUUCUUUUUCUUUUUUCUAUUAUUAUUUUCAAUAAAAACAAGUUUACCGUCCAUUCUGUCAUGGGGGUGUCGACAUAUUUCGGGGGAAAGCUUUGGACUUUGCACGGGGCGACGGGGUUUGAAAAGAUCAAGGGUCGUGUCCGCUCGGGAUGAGUUCAUGAUGUCUUCAUUCUGCAGCGCCUGAUCUUGUCUCCCCUGGGCCCCUCUUUUACGGUUUUGCCCUUACUCGCUCUGUAUCUCCCACGAGCUGCCACUGGAAACUAAUAUGAAAGAGUGCUUUUAAAAAAAAAGAAGCAGAAAAUAUAAGUACACUUAAAAAAUUCAAAAAAUUUAAAAAAUUUAAUGACUUAAUUACACUUUUUAAAAAUUUUCAGAUUUUGUUACACUUUUGUUAUAAAUUUAAAAAUAGCAGAAGAAGAAAGGAUAAGUGCACUUAAAAUCCUAUAAUUCGUCUUGAAAGUGCAAUCGAAUUCUAAAAAAUUACUAAGUACAAUCAAAUUUAAAAAAAAAAUUAAAAAAUGUAAUCAACAAAACGACUUAAUUUGAUCAAACAAAUUCUAAGACUUAAUUGCACUUUUUAAAUUUUUUCAAACUUAAUUACACUUUUGUGAUAACUUUAUGACUUGAUUGCACAUUUUAAAAGUCUUAUAAAUUUUGUGAUAAAUUUUAAGAUUUUCAUUGCACUUAUAAUAUAUAUAUAUAUAUAUAUAUAUAUAUAUAUAUAUAUAUAUAUAUAUAUAUAUAAAUUGUUUCUCUUGCCUUGCCCUCCAUUGGCAUAGCUGCAAAAAAUUUUAAGUGUCGUUGAAGAUUGAUUAAGCAUAUGUUUUUUUGAAUUAUCUAAUAUUUUUCAUUUGAAGGGACAUGUUCAGGUCGAGUUUAAUGUAAAUUAAAAAUGAUAAAAGAGUUUCGAGAACACUUAAAAGAGUUUUAGUUAGCUUGAUUUUAAUAUAUGACCUUUUACUGAACAAGAGAUGGAUAAAUUUAUUUGGAAUCCAAGGGAAUACUGGCUGUUGCAUACCACAAACAAUGGACCCUAUUUUUUUCCUUUUUCUUUUUGCCGGACUUGAUUAAUUGAGUCGAAGAAAUCAAAUAGGGUUUUAUCCAAUAAAUAAUUCUAGCAUUAUAGCUAAAAAAAAAUCUUGACUAAUAUUAGACACACAUAAACUUUUCGAAUUGUAUGAUAAGAACUUUAGAAAGUAAGGCCAGCCUUCAUUUCAAAGUUAUCAUCUCUCCCUCUAUAAAGGUUGUAUUCCUUGGAUAAGCUAUCAAUAACAAUAAAGCAUAAAAAAGUUUUAGCGUAGGAAUGUUUUGCAAAAGAUGAUAUUUCACUUUCAUUUGUCACUAGAGGAGCACACCACAUCUAGUUUGACAAAAGGGCAUUUCGGUAAAUCCACCUCGAACCUAAAUCAGCCUGUUCGCCGAGUUCUCUUGCCUGUUCACAUGGCUGUCCUGUCAAAUAAAGUGCCACGUCAUCAUGUUUUGCUGACUUGGCUUGUCCACUCACCGAAAAUUUUCAUUUAUGUCUCAUAUCUGCAAUGUACAAUUCAUUCAUCAUUCAACAGCCCGUUAAGUGCAAGGCGGCGUGGGGUUUGUGACAUGGGAAGGGGAAUCAACUGCAAUUCUAAAAGCCCAUUUUGGCGGCCUGUGUGCUGCAUCAUCAUCCUUGCAAAACCAUGGCCUUAAAAUUGAACCUAUACUCGUCUUGUCCAUAGCAUUUCCACAAAUUUGGGAUUACAAACUCAAUUCAAUAAUGGACUUUAAUGAACUUCCCAUUUCUCCUUCCAUGCUUUUUGUUCGACAUGAUGCUCUUACGCUACUUGCCGCCACGCCCGGUGUCGUCACUUAUUAGCGAGCCAUCACUCUUGGGAUAUGUGCUGAUAGCUUUGUCUCAUCCUUUAGGUACUAUUUACACAAAAAAAUGACCAAGUCUUUGUAAUCAACAAACGCUGAUUUGAGUGAGUAGAAAGCUUGGUGUUAAGUUUGAUUUGGUUAUAUAUAACUUACCGAUAACAAAAAUACUUGUCGAUCACAUGAUGAUCAUUGAUGACUGAAAAACACGAUCAUCAACAUACAACAGUCAUCGAUAAGCGAUUAUCACUUAAUGACUUGACUAAUUGUUGAACAUAUAGGAAAUAAAAAAAGAAAAAGAAAAAAAGAGGACAAAUUAGGGAUGCCAUUUGAAGACAAAGAUACCAAUUAAAGGUUAGGUCCAUUGGCAUUUGAGGGGUUGUAAUCACCUAGGUAAGGUUGAUGUAGAUAAUGGAACCUAAAAAUAUGAAGAUGCAGUUGUAAUUUAUGAGCAAAUAUACUUUGUAGUAUACUAUGUAAAGCGGUGCGCAAUUGUUAUGACAAAAACCCAUUUAUUUUCUCAACUCAUCAAUUUUCAAUACUCGCAUUUAUUUUCCUUCAUAUUUAAUUGUUCUUGAUCUUUGUUACACAAUUCAAUUCCUUUUUGAAUUGCCACCAAACUCGUUCAACCAAAAAACCAAACAUCGGCUUCUGGUGAAAGGUAUUUUCAUUGAUUGCGAUAGAUCUGGCUUUUUUAACAAAACAAAUAUUGAAUGCAACUUUCAUAAAUCAGGCAUUGCGUUUUUAAGGUACUUUCUAAUAAAUUCUUGAGCCCAUAUGCUUUGCUAAGAUUGUAUGAUGGCAUAUUUCUUUACCUUCAUUGAUUCAUCGAGGCAUGUCCGGCUUUCCUAGCAGAACAAGAACAAUUCAUACAUUGCGUUUUAGAAUACUUUCUAAUAAAUUUUUGAGUCCAUCCGAUUCGCUAACAUAGUAUAAUGAUAUACUUUUUACCUUUGUCCAGGAAUGCAAAUAGGGUUUCACAUACUUAUUAAAUCUAAUAUUCCAAUUAACACCAAUUUACUUAAUAAGUGCUAUUUUAUUUAGUACACUUAAUAAAUAAUUAACUGUACUAAAAAAUCAUUCAGCUAACUGAAUCGUGAGGACUUUGCUCAAAAAAAAAAAAAAAAAACUGAAUCGUGAGGACGGCACGAGCCAGGGAAGGGCAGGCCAUACCACAAAUUGUUUUUUUUUUUUUUUUUUUUGGGUCGUGCACGCCGCAAUUUAAGUGUUCUUUUUGUUUUUAUAUAUUAUUAAGUAAAGAAAACAAAUCGACCGUCGAUUUUGUCAUGGGAGUGUCGACAUAUGUCGCGGGGAACCGUUUGGACUUUGUUCGUGGCACGGGACUUCAAAGAUCCGAGGGCGGGUACCUGCUCGGAUGAGUUCAUGAUGUCUUCAUCCUCCAGCAACCUGAGUUUUGUCUCCGCGGGGCCCAUUUUGUUUUACGGUUUUGCCCUCGCACUCCCUCCGUAUUUCCCACGAGCUGCCACUGGAACUUGGAGAUGGAGAGCGUUUUUAUGGCAGAAUCUUUCUUCACUCCUCUCGCCUUGUCCUUCAUCGGUUUGGCAGUAAAAUUUUUAUUUUUAUAGUGCUUUCGAAGCAUUGUGUCGGAUCAUUCAUGCGAUUAAUCGGGUGUUAGUUUCUGUGAAUUAUUUAUAGGAAACACACAAUUAGGUUAAGUUUGAUUUAAAUGAAAAAUGGUAUAAAGUUUCGAGGAGAGGCUUGAUAGCCUCUCGUGUCGAAAUGAAGGAGAUUUUUUUGUUUUUUGUUUUUUGGAUCUAGAAAAGUACUAUUAAUUAUCAUCAAAAGUUCUUCGACAGUAGCCCAAAAAAGGGGCAUCAAAACAUGGUAAGAUCCACAAAAGUUAUGGACUAAAUUAACCAAGAAAAUAAAAGAGUAUCUAGACGAUGAACCAUGGCUACUUAAUCGAGGUAUCAAUGAAUAAAUUGGAAUAUGGAAUUAUACUAUGAAUAUUACUAUUUUCAUUUUUUUGACUGAAUCGAUUGACAGAAUUGAAGAAAACAAAAUAGAGUUUUCAUUCAAUAAAUAAGUCUAAGCAUGACAAGAACAUUUGAUUAGAAGUUAUCAUCAUCAUCUCUGCCUCUAUAAAGGUUAUAUAUUCUGAAGAUAAACCUAUCAACGGUAGAGCAUGAAAAGUUCAAGCGGAGCACUCAACGUCUCCCUCACCUUAGCUGAUACACUUCUUUGUAGAAGGCGCAUUUCCGUAAAUCCACCCUUCGACAUUAUUCAGCUCCCCUCUCCUUACGUAAAGCCUCCCAAGACGCUGUCCAAUCCAACCCCAAACCAAACCUAGAGCUUCUCUCUCUCUCUCUCUCUCUCUCUCCUCAAAGUCUUUUGCCAAUGCCGGCGACGAGGACGGCCUGACAGAGGAGGAGGAAGCAUGGCGAAGUUCUUUGGGGACGCGGCGUCGGUGCUGAUGAAGGUGCUGAUGAGGAAGAGCAUCAGCCUGUACGCCGAGUUCUCUUACCUCUUCACCGACCUCGCCUCCCUCGUCGUGUCGGCUCUCCGGUUCUCCACCAUCAUGGCCAGGCAACCUUCUUCUUUCCCUCCUCAUCCUUCUCCAUCUUCCACUUCUCCUUCUGCUGCUUCCGCCUCUACUUCUUCUGCCAUAAGGUACUCGCCGAUCCUGAUGUCCAUGGCCAUCCGACACCGUGUGUCCUGAGCUCGAUCGAUGCGGUUGACAUUGUGCUGCUGGAUCUUCCUUUUCUUGCCCUCUUGUCUUUUGGGGUUGGCUUACGUGGGGUGUUCGGAACUUGCCCAUGAUUCGUUCGUAUGGCGAUGAGGGGAAUCUAUGCACGUCUCUGAUUUCCCAGGCGCAAAAUGUUUGUUCUUCUUGAUGGGGCUGCUAUUUGGGACGCCGGUUUGUGUUUAUGAUUAUCGCUUGCGCUUGCGGAUCUAACGGAGGGACUCGACCGGUCGCGUAUCGCGAUUUCGAGCCGCGGGACGGGUUUGAGAUUUCGUUAUGUAUGGGUUCCUGUAGGCUUGCGACCGAUCUGCGAUCUGUCUCGCAGAUGAUUAGGAAACUCGAAUUCAACGAGUCAUUUCGCUCGAUUGUGUGAUAAAUCGCUUCAUGUAUCAGAACAUGUAAUAAUCGAUAAUUACUAAUUUACUCCUUUUCCUUUUCACAAUCUGAACAAUGGUUUUUCCAAUCAUCGUGAUUGUCUGAAUUUAGGAAAGUAAGGUGGUUUUAUUAGAUCAGGUUGUUGACACCCAAAAAUGGCAAAGUGUUGCGAGAUAGCCGAUGAGCAGGGUUCGGUCGAGAAGAACAGAUUUGAUCUGAGAAUUAGGGCAGUCGAGAAGAUCGGCAAGUCGAUGUCUAGCACAAUCAACAAGAUUCUUCAUUGAGGAUUUAAGAAUUGAUCGAUAACAACAGGCUCUAUUAGAUUUUGACCAAGUAUAAGAAGACAAUCGAUGAACGGAGUGAAAAAAUGAUUGCUUUGCUAAUUAAAAGGCAGGGGUGGCAAAUUGACAUGAGUCUAUAACUGUCAAAUGGUGAAGUCGAUAAUUUAGGUAUUUGUAACUUCUUAUAGAUAAUUGUUGUUGAUUAAUGAAACUAUGUGUGAAUUUGUGAUUAUUCAAUAACUGUGUAUAUGUAAAUGUCGAUGGUGGGUUAUAAACACUUUCGGUGUAUAUGUUGUAAAUGUUCACUCAGUCAAUCUUAGAACAUCCAAUGUUCUUUAUUUUCCGUAAUCCUUUACUUUGUAGCAUUAUUUACAUUGCUGGCAACUAUUGUUCCUGGUAUUCUUACCAUUAAGUUUCCAGCCAUUUACUUUCC
rnacentral:lncRNA from 1 species